UCAUUAUGGGCAACCUUAUAAAGAUCACUACAUCAAUGAUUAUAUGUUGAUCCCGGCUUUAUUUUGCAUAUAUAAUUUGUUUUUCAAUUGGCAGGCUUUUUAACAAUGUGAAAGCCGAGGACCAGUUCUUCCUUCGCCUACCUGAAACAAUGAUAAAAGCGGAAAAAAUUGCGGUCCUCGGGCGUGGAAGUUGGCGGAGGCAUGCAAGCCCUGCAGAGUCCUUAAGUGACAAGCUUCUGGCAUUGCACGAGUUAAAAGGUGUCUUCAUAUCUGGUAGAUCUUGCUUUGCAGUCCUCUUCUCAAGUGUCCUUGGACAAGUGCAGCUAGCCGCACUCAUUGCUUGCAUUGUUAUGUCUUCAUUGCGUCUGAAAAGGCAAGAUUAUGUGGAUCAACAGAAUCAAGGGAACUAUGAUCAUAAGAACAUUAGGUGGUCUCUGAACAUCUUCUAUGCAUUAGUGCUCAGCCAAUGCAUUCUCUAUUUCCUAACUGGGAUACUGGCAAACCCGUUGAAACGGAUAACUCUAGUCUGUAUGAAGUACAAGCUAGACAUCUGGGGGUUUCUAGCUCUUUCUCGCUAUCUACAGGCAUGCGUUCUGAAAUGCAUCAAUGGUGAUCUUCGUGAAGCAGUCAACAUGGACUUGGUUUCCUUUGCAAAGCAGCUACUGAACUCUGACCCACUGGACGACCAGCUGCUGGGAAUUCGUAUUCUUGACCACCUCCUCAGAAGCAGGGAACAUGAAGAUGAAUGCUACAAAGAAAAGGUGCUCACCAAGAUUCGAUCUUCUCUUGAUACCGUCGAGAAAGCAGUAUACAUGAUGGGCUUGGACAGAGAGGUGGAACAAGACACCAGAGGGCAUGCUGCGCGCAUACUGCUGGAGCUCGCACCUGGCCUUCAAGUCGAGAACUUUCCUGGUAUUUUUCAAUCUAUUUCUUCACUGCUUAGCGCACGCAGGACCAAGACCAGUGGAAGUUCCAGCAAUUCAACCUGUGCAAGCAAAGAGCUCAAAUUGCUUGGUGUGGAUAUUCUCGACAACCUCCUGACUAAUCCAGAAAACUGUGCGGAGGUGAAGAAUGCCAAGAACCUGCUCUCCAAGAUCAUACACAUUACAAGCUGCCAAGAUGAAAAGCUAGAUUUUGAUAUUGAUAAAAAGAUAGUCGAAAACUCACUAGAAGUCUUGCGCAAGCUUGUGAGCACAGCUGGUGAGACCGGCGAGGAGCUCAGGUGCCAAGUGUCCAGUAAUAUGUACACCAUAAGGAAUAUUGGCAAGUUCUUCAUAGAUCAUCCUGAAAGCGAACCACAGAUGCUUGCUCAAGCAGCAGACAUCCUUGCAUGCCUAGCUUCAAAUGACACUGCCAGAAAGGAGAUAGAAAGGUCACACCUAAUCAUCCGGAAACUCAUCGGUCUCCUAGCUGAAGAAAUUGAUGACGUCCAAGAAAGCUCCAUGAGAGUGUUGGCAGCCGAAGCGUUGGUAUUGCUCACUGCUCCUACCAAAGAAAACGGCGAGCUCAGUAUAGUGAGUGAAAGGAGCAUCAAGCCAGUAUUGUCAGAAACUAAGCUUGAAGGCAUGCAGCGAAUUGUCUCGCUGCUCUCUGAUGAGUCUGCAGAGCAUAGAAUUAUGGUGGCAAAAUUCCUGCAGAAUCUGCGGAGUUACCGGGGAGCAGAAUAUGGUGAUCAGCUGGAGAUAAUCAACAAAGCUCUACCAAAGGUAACUGCUAAGCAGCACCUAUCCUGAUUCAAAUCUUGGAACAGAAAAUUAACUUUUAUCUAUUUUGCACUCAUAUGCGAAAAAUAAAAAAGGUUGGCUUUGGUUAUCUUACACUUCCUUCUGCUGAAGCAUAUACUCCCUCCAUCCCAUAAUAUAAGAGCGUUUUUUACACUAAUGUAGUGCCAAAAAUGCUCUUAUAUUAUGGGACAGAGGAGUAGUUUUUAUUUAUCUUCAUUUGACAUAUUAUCAGGGGCGGCGCUAGGGGUAUUCUUGGGUCUUCAUGUGAAUACCCAUGAUGUUUACAAAACAGUGUUGAUUUUGGCAAAAUAGUGACAAUUUUCGAAAAACAGCAAUGAUUUUGGCAAAAUGAAUACACAUGAAUACCCGGUUGCAAAUUCCUGGAGCCGCCCGUGCAUAUUAUGCUUGAAAUGGUGCAUAUACAUAUAUAUCACCCUUGCAUGAUAAAUCCAUAUUUUAUUUUAAACUCACUGGUAUACAUUUGAUUUUUGGGGAUGACAAGUAUAUGAAUGCUGUCACAGGUAUUGGAAGCAAUCAAGAUUGCAUCGGAUAAAAUAGAAGCGAUAGGUUGUGCUGAUGAACCUUCUGGUCAUGUAAGAAAACAGAGUUCUCCAUCUUCCCUGUUUAACAUAGUAAAUUCAUAGGGCCUGUUAUUCCGAUUCAACUAGUUUUCCUUUGAAAUUUAUAUUUUGUUGGAAUAAUAUUAUCCUUAUAUGCGCUGUAUACACAGGAGAUAGAGGCGCUGAUAACUGAACAAGGCAAGCUGCUGGAGAGCUUUAUUGGCCUGUGCAUGCAAAUUUGCAUCAGCGGGAAUGCAAAGCAGUUCACCGAUGCGCUGAGGAGUGCUGAGAUUACAGACGAUAUGUUCGUCCAGAUGCUUACAAAGAUACUGGAAGUGUACAAGUCUCCAACUUCCGAUACUCCAGGCAUAAGAAGGGUGGUGAUUCAACAAAUGAACUGGAUGAUGGAUGAGGACCAAGAGUACAUCAACAUUUUCCUGAAGCAUGAAAUGGAAAAUGCACUGAAAGAAGUAGUAGAGACGGCAUUGAAGCUUGAGAACUAUUGGUUCUUUCGUUUUGACGUCAAAGCUUUUGAGCAUGAGGAAUCCAUUUAUUCUCUUCUCAGCAUUUCGCCACUACUGCAGGCAGGUGGUUCGGGCUUGUAGUUGGAUCAGCAAACAUCUAUCCCAAGUACGUACUCUCUUCCAUCUCAUGUAAAACAUAUGCUAAUUUGCCGAUGAGAUUUAUAAUGCCUUUCAAAGAAGCUAUUUCGAGACUCAUAAACCCGCAGCUAUGGAAAUUUAAUUCAAAUUUCUCAAGAAUAAACAUAACUUAGGCUUAUGGCAGCCAGCCCAAAACAACAUAAUUUUGCUUUGGAAAUAAUCUAAGGUUAAGGCAGUCCUAGUAUUAAAGUCAUGUGUCCCACUUUUCUCAAGUGCUGGCAUGAUCUAACUUGGAUUUUGUUGCAUGUUCUCUGCAGGGCACAAUCGUGAGAACACACCUACUAUAAUUGCCUACCUUCCUGCUCAAGCCAUCUGCCUAAAGCAAAUUUGCUUCGGGUUUCAGUAUUCGUGUGUUGAAUUCAGCUUCCCAGUUUGUUUAAUUUAGCCAACUUAUAAUAAUGCUCUCGGAGACAUACCUUACCGUGUGUCAACAAGGACUACUAUGCAAAUUAGACGGUUUGUCUAUAACUAGCAAAAAUGCCCGUGCGUUGCAACGGGUACAAAAUAAAUACAUGUGUGUGCUUUGAAAUUUGAAGAAAAAAACCACUUUGCAUACAUGGCAUGAUUGCAACUCAGAUCUGAAUGAAAUUUUCCAUGUAUAUGAAAUAGCAAAGUUUAACACACUGCCCAGUGAUGUACCAGUGUCAAGUUUUGUCUUUCGUAAAUCAGGAACAGGUCUUGUAUCUCUUGU
rnacentral:lncRNA from 1 species